ACGGGUGCGUAACGCGUGGGAAUCUGCCCAAAGGUACGGAAUAACUCCUCGAAAGGGGUGCUAAUACCGUAUGAUGUCGCAAGACCAAAGAUUUAUCGCCUUUGGAUGAGCCCGCGUAGGAUUAGCUAGUUGGUGGGGUAAAGGCCUACCAAGGCGACGAUCCUUAGCUGGUCUGAGGGGAUGAUCAGCCACACUGGGACUGAGACACGGCCCAGACUCCUACGGGAGGCAGCAGUGGGGAAUAUUGGACAAUGGGCGAAAGCCUGAUCCAGCAAUGCCGCGUGAGUGAUGAAGGCCUUAGGGUUGUAAAGCUCUUUUACCCGGGAAGAUAAUGACUGUACCGGGAGAAUAAGCUCCGGCUAACUCCGUGCCAGCAGCCGCGGUAAUACGGAGGGAGCUAGCGUUGUUCGGAAUUACUGGGCGUAAAGCGCACGUAGGCGGCUUUACAAGUCAGAGGUGAAAGCCUGGAGCUCAACUCCAGAAUUGCCUUUGAGACUGUAUCGCUUGAACACGGGAGAGGUGAGUGGAAUUCCGAGUGUAGAGGUGAAAUUCGUAGA
rnacentral:rRNA from 1 species